ACGAACGCUGGCGGCGUGCCUAACACAUGCAAGUCGAGCGGAGAUACGGAAUAGUUUACUAGGAAGUAUCUUAGCGGCGGACGGGUGAGUAACGCGUGGGCAACCUGCCUUACAGAGGGGGAUAACAGUGCGAAAGUACUGCUAAUACCGCAUGAUAUUGUACCAUCUCAUGAUGGAACAAUCAAAGGAGAAAUCCGCUGUAAGAUGGGCCCGCGUCUGAUUAGCUAGUUGGUAAGGUAAUGGCUUACCAAGGCGACGAUCAGUAGCCGAUCUGAGAGGAUGAACGGCCACACUGGAACUGAGACACGGUCCAGACUCCUACGGGAGGCAGCAGUGGGGAAUAUUGCACAAUGGGCGAAAGCCUGAUGCAGCAACGCCGCGUGGAGGAUGAAGGUUUUCGGAUUGUAAACUCCUUUGAUCGGGGAUGAAAAAAAUGACAGUACCCGAAAAACAAGCCACGGCUAACUACGUGCCAGCAGCCGCAGUAAAAC
rnacentral:rRNA from 1 species